AAUAGAUACCCUGGUAGUCCACGCCGUAAACGAUGUGUGCUAGAAGUCGGGAUAACUCGGUUUCGAAGCUAACGCAUUAAGCACACCGCCUGGGGAGUACGGUCGCAAGGCUGAAACUCGAAAGGAAUUGACGGGGACCCGCACAAGUGGUGGAGCAUGUGGUUUAAUUCGAUGCAACGCGAUGAACCUUACCAAGACUUGACAUACUCGGCAAAGCUAUAGAGAUAUAGUGGAGGUUAUCCGAUGUACAGGUGGUGCAUGGUUGUCGUCAGCUCGUGUCGUGAGAUGUUGGGUUAAGUCCCGCAACGAGCGCAACCCCUAUCUUUAUUUGCUAAUAUUAAGUUGAGGACUAUAGAGAGACUGCCUACGCAAGUAGGAGGAAGGUGGGGAUGACGUCAAAUCAUCAUGCCCCUUAUGUCUUGGGCUACACACGUGCUACAAUGGCCGGUACAAAGGGCUGCAAACUGGUGACAGUAAGCGAAUCCCAUAAAGCCGGUCUAAGUUCGGAUUGAAGU
rnacentral:rRNA from 1 species